rnacentral:rRNA from 1 species
GGGGAAUUUUGGACAAUGGGCGCAAGCCUGAUCCAGCCAUUCCGCGUCAGUGAAGAAGUCCUUCGGGUUGUAAAGCUCUUUCAGCAGGAACGAAACGGUUGGUCUUAAUACGGCCUGCUAAUGACGGUACCUGCAGAAGAAGCCCCGGUUAACUACGUGCCAGCAGCCGCGGUAAUACGUAGGGUGCGAGCGUUAAUCGGAAUUACUGGGCGUAAAGCGUGCGCAGGCGGCGACAUAAGACAGAUGUGAAAUCCCCGGGCUCAACCUGGGAACGUCGUUUGUGACUGUGUGGCUAGAGUGUAGCAGAGGGGGGUGGAAUUCCACGUGUAGCAGUGAAAUGCGUAGAGAUGUGGAGGAACACCGAUGGCGAAGGCAGCCCCCUGGGUUAACACUGACGCUCAUGCACGAAAGCGUGGGGAGCAAACA